rnacentral:lncRNA from 1 species
CACAGAGAGUGGAGCUGGGCGGCUGCAUGGAGCAGGGGGAGGUGGAGGGCUCCCUUGGUAGAGCUCCGUAAAGCCACCAAAAGACCAGACCAGGAAUCUGAGGCUCAGGACCUGCAUGUGUUACCUAGCAACCCCCCGCCAGCAGGGCCGGAUGCCGGCUGCAAACUUGGGUUCAUCCUGUCACCACAGGACUCCACACGAGCGAAGUGACGUGUUGAUACCUACUCACUGAGACAGGCCAGAGCCCAGCAGCAUGGCUUGCAGGCCUUCCAAGAGGAUACACCUGGCUGGAGCUGGCCCAGAGCGGAAGGGGUGGCAGGGCCCCGCACAGGAGCUGUGCUGACCUCCCACGGCCAAGAAGCUGAGCCCAAGAGCUGUCGCACCCACGGCCCAAGGAACCUCAGCACUGCCCGCUGCCACAUCCCCAUACGCCUCCUCUGGGGACAUGGAGGAGGACGUGAGACGGCACACUUUUUAAAAACCCCCAAGCGCCCCAUAUGGACGCCCAGCGUGGAGAGCGGGAGCCGCGAAGCUGGCAGCGAGCUCCCGCCCACCAGAGCUACGUCUCCAAGUUCCUUAUCACUUGUCAGACUGGAGGUUGGCACGAGCCGCAGCACAGAGCAGCAGAUGGCGAGGCUCAGGCGAGGUGGCACAGCCGGGGGCCCAGGGGUCCGGAGCUGGUCCCACACGCGGCGGGAGAGAAGGAAAUGGUAAGAAACGAAGGGCCC